rnacentral:rRNA from 1 species
GAUGAACGCUAGCGGCAGGCCUAAUACAUGCAAGUCGAACGAGAUUGAGGAGCUUGCUUCUUAUGAAAGUGGCGCACGGGUGCGUAACGCGUAUGCAACCUACCUUAAUCAGGGGGAUAGCCCGAAGAAAUUCGGAUUAACACCGCAUAAAAACACAGGAUAGCAUUAUCCAAUGUUCAAAUAUUUAUAGGAUUAAGAUGGGCAUGCGUGUCAUUAGCUAGUUGGCGGGGUAACGGCCCACCAAGGCGACGAUGACUAGGGGAUCUGAGAGGAUGACCCACCACACUGGUACUGAGACACGGACCAGACUCCUACGGGAGGCAGCAGUAAGGAAUAUUGGUCAAUGGAGGCAACUCUGAACCAGCCAUGCCGCGUGCAGGAAGACUGCCCUAUGGGUUGUAAACUGCUUUUAUCCGGGAAUAAACCUUUUUACGUGUAAGAAGCUGAAUGUACCGGAAGAAUAAGGAUCGGCUAACUCCGUGCCAGCAGCCGCGGUAAAAC